GGUGGAAUCGAAUGUAUCCAGACAAAUGAAUGAAUAGAUGCAUCCUUUAUUCGACUCUCAUUUUGUAUGAUUAUUCCUUUGCACUUUUGGAAUGCUUGCCGGCUUGACUUAUCCUACCGCGAGCACUUAGAGGAGCGGAUCCUCAGAAAACUCGACAGAGGAGGUCGUCACCGGCAAGACUCCCUGCCCCACUCAGUGCAACCAUGUAAAUCAUCAAGUGCGGCUCGAGGCGAAAUAAGGUGCUACGUAGCCGUCCGAAAUGUUGAACGAGUUCGAAACGAGAUAAGGG
rnacentral:lncRNA from 1 species